ACGGGAGGCAGCAGUGGGGGAUAUUGCACAAUGGGGGAAACCCUGAUGCAGCGACGCCGCGUGAGUGAUGAAGUAUUUCGGUAUGUAAAGCUCUAUCAGCAGGGAAGAAAAUGACGGUACCUGACUAAGAAGCUCCGGCUAAAUACGUGCCAGCAGCCGCGGUAAUACGUAGGUGGCAAGCGUUAUCCGGAUUUACCGGGUGUAAAGGGUGUGUAGGCGGGACUGCAAGUCAGAUGUGAAACUUAUGAGCUCAACUCAUAACCUGCAUUUGAAACUGUGGUUCUUGAGAGUCGGAGAGGUAAACGGAAUUCCUGGUGUAGCGGUGAAAUGCGUAGAUAUCAGGAGGAACACCGGUGGCGAAGGCGGUUUACUGGACGACAACUGACGCUGAGACACGAAGGCGUGGGGAGCAAACAGGAUUAGAUACCCUGGUA
rnacentral:rRNA from 1 species